UCCACACUACAUUCUGGAACAUAGGAACCA
rnacentral:piRNA from 1 species